rnacentral:misc_RNA from 1 species
GAUGAAGAACGCAGCGAAAUGCGAUAAGUAGUGUGAAUUGCAGAAUUCAGUGAAUCAUCGAAUCUUUGAACGCACAUUGCGCCCUUUGGUAUUCCAAAGGGCAUGCCUGUUCGAGCGUCAUUUGUACACUCAAGCUUUGCUUGGUGUUGGGCGUCUUGUCUCUAGCUUUGCUGGAGACUCGCCUUAAAGUAAUUGGCAGCCGGCCUACUGGUUUCGGAGCGCAGCACAAGUCGCACUCUCUAUCAGCAAAGGUCUAGCAUCCAUUAAGCCUUUUUUUCAACUUUUGACCUCGGAUCAGGUAGGGAUACCCGCUGAACUUAAGCAUAUCAAUAAGCGGAGGA